GUGGGAUUAUUCUUAGUCGUACUUGCAAUAUGAGGUUCCAAAUGUCUCAGUUCUUCAAUGCUUCUUCUGCGUAUAUGUUGGUUUACCCAACUUCCUCAGGAGGGAAACGGAAGUCCUGGAUUCUUGUGCUGAUUAUAUCUGGGUCGAUUUUUGUAUUAGCACUUGUUGUUGGGUUGGGCAUUGCAUGCUUACGAGGAAAGAAAAG
rnacentral:sRNA from 1 species